rnacentral:rRNA from 1 species
AACGAACGCUGGCGGCAUGCCUAACACAUGCAAGUCGAACGAGACCUUCGGGUCUAGUGGCGCACGGGUGCGUAACACGUGGGAAUUUGCCUCGGGGUAUGGAAUAACUCAGGGAAACUUGAGCUAAUACCAUAUAAUGUCUUCGGACCAAAGAUUUAUCGCCCUGAGAUAAGCCCGCGUAGGAUUAGCUAGUUGGUGGGGUAAAGGCUCACCAAGGCGACGAUCCUUAGCUGGUCUGAGAGGAUGAUCAGCCACACUGGGACUGAGACACGGCCCAGACUCCUACGGGAGGCAGCAGUGGGGAAUAUUGGGACAAUGGGGCGAAAGCCUGAUCCAGCAAUGCCGCGUGAGUGAUGAAGGCCUUAGGGUUGUAAAGCUCUUUUACUGGGGAUGAUAAUGACAGUACCCAGAGAUAAGCUCCGGCUAACUCCGUGCCAGCAGCCGCGGUAAUGUGACUACUG